UAACCCCGCCCCGCACGCGAUUUCCCGGCUUUCCGGACCUGGCGAACUGUAUUCCCGCGGGGGUUCGAUUGGGCGCGCGAUCCAUUUGACUUACUCCAAGGCGCGAGAUCCCGCGAGAGCAGGAGCUUGACCGUGUCCCCUUAAGGCAAGAGUGGAGCGUUAGGGUUUAACUUCUGGAAAAGGCACGGAGGAUAGAACAAUUAAUAAAAAAGGCCACGUUUCUGCCCUGAGAGAACAUUCAUUCUGGUGGACAAGAUGAACAAGGAAGGAACAAAUAGGGGAAAGAAAAGGAAGAAUACACAGAUCAAAAGGAUGCACGAUAUGAACAGAAAUGAGCAAAUUUAAUCAGAGUUCACUUUUGUGGUGCUUAAAUUUCAAAAUUAAACAUGCAUGUUGCUUGUUUUGUUGAGUUCACGUUCAACACAGCCUGACAGUGCAGCCUCCUCUGAUCAGGACUGCCUGAGUGACUUUGGAGGGUGACUCUGAAAUUGUUCAGUUUAUAGCUGUAUUUGCUUCAAAUUAAGAUGAUGAAGAUUUAUUAUUAUUUUGUCUAAUGUAAAAAAAAUAGCUUAAGGCUGAAUUUUAUUCUGAGAGAGAAGAUAAACAAUGACUAGAGCUUAUAUUUUAGAGCCAGACUUAGCAAGCUCUCCCCCUUUUGUGCUAUAAUUAAGCAAAUCACCUUAGUUCUCUAAGGCUCAAUUUUCUUAUAUAAAAUUGAGAUUAUUUAUAAUACCUUCCUCACAGGAUAAUUAUGCAAAUAAAAUAUGGCAAAUAUAUGUUAAGGAGCCUCAGUGCCAUGAAUAAGUACAGUGCCUGGAGUUUAGUAGUCUGUCAGUGAAAGUUAUUUUUUUUUCUUUUAAUUUUCUUUCUCCUUUAUUCCAUUUCUCAUGUAUACAAAUGUGACUGGAAAAGAUGCCACAGUCUUUCUGCUGUUCUAAAGAGACUAUCAUAUUUCUUCAGACUUUGAAAGGUUUAGCUGCUUUUCAGGUCAAUGGAAACCUAUUCAAAAUUCCUUUCAAAUUCUCAAUUGUGUAGCAACCAGAGUGUGAAAUUUUGGCAUUUCUAAAGGUGUCAGACAGCUGGGCUAGAAUUAAUACACACUUCCAGGAAAGGAAGAAAUACAGUAGUGAACAGAGUUAUUCCAUCAUUUUCUAUCCAAUUCUUAAAAAAAAUAACCAACUUAAGAUUUUCCCUUUUUAAAUACUCCUUUAUGGUAGUUGCAGAGUGGGGAGUAUUGUUCUUUACCUAGCAUAUUUAAUUGCUGGGACUCUUUUGGUGGUUGACAGAAUGGUGAUAUUGAGCAUACAGUUUAAUUGU